rnacentral:rRNA from 1 species
UACGUAGGGUGCAAGCGUUAAUCGGAAUUACUGGGCGUAAAGCGUGCGCAGGCGGUUAUGUAAGACAGGUGUGAAAUCCCCGGGCUUAACCUGGGAACUGCGCUUGUAACUGGCAAGCUAGAGUGUGGCAGAGGGGGGUGGAAUUCCACGUGUAGCAGUGAAAUGCGUAGAGAUGUGGAGGAACACCGAUGGCGAAGGCAGCCCCCUGGGCUAACACUGACGCUCAUGCACGAAAGCGUGGGGAGCAAACAGG